rnacentral:rRNA from 1 species
GAUGAACGCUGACAGAAUGCUUAACACAUGCAAGUCUACUUGAACUUCGGUUUGGGUGGCGGACGGGUGAGUAACGCGUAAAGAACUUGCCUCACAGUUAGGGACAACAUUUGGAAACGAAUGCUAAUACCUGAUAUUAUGAUUUUAGGGCAUCCUAGGAUUAUGAAAGCUAUAUGUGCUGUGAGAGAGCUUUGCGUCCCAUUAGCUAGUUGGAGAGGUAACGGCUCACCAAGGCGAUGAUGGGUAGCCGGCCUGAGAGGGUGAACGGCCACAAGGGGACUGAGACACGGCCCUUACUCCUACGGGAGGCAGCAGUGGGGAAUAUUGGAAAAUGGACCAAAAGUCUGAUCCAGCAAUUCUGUGUGCAAGAUGACGUUUUUCGGAAUGAAAAGUGCUUUCAGUUGGGAAGAAAAAAAUGACGGUACCAACAGAAGAAGUGACGGCUAAAUACGUG